rnacentral:rRNA from 1 species
UUAGGAAUCUUGCGCAAUGGGCGAAAGCCUGACGCAGCAACGCCGCGUGCGGGAAGAAGGCCUUCGGGUUGUAAACCGCUUUCAGUAGGGACGAAAUCAGACGGUACCUACAGAAGAAGCCCCGGCCAACUACGUGCCAGCAGCCGCGGUAACACGUAGGGGGCGAGCGUUGUCCGGAUUUAUUGGGCGUAAAGAGCUCGUAGGCGGCUUGGUAAGUCGGGUGUGAAAACUCCGAGCUCAACUCGGAGACGCCAUCUGAUACUGCCAUGGCUAGAGUCCGGUAGGGGAGCGCAGAAUUCCUGGUGUAGCGGUGAAAUGCACAGAUAUCAGGAGGAAUACCGAUGGCGAAGGCAGCGCUCUGGGCCGGUACUGACGCUGAGGAGCGAAAGCGUGGGUAGCGAACAGGAUUAGAUACCCGUGUAGUCC